rnacentral:rRNA from 1 species
GAGGAAUAUUGCACAAUGGGCGAAAGCCUGAUGCAGCAACGCCGCGUGCGGGACGAAGGCCUUCGGGUUGUAAACCGCUUUUCUGAGGGACGAGCAAGGACGGUACCUCAGGAAUAAGUCUCGGCUAACUACGUGCCAGCAGCCGCGGUAAAACGUAGGAGGCGAGCGUUAUCCGGAUUUACUGGGCGUAAAGCGCACGCAGGUGGCUGCGUAAGUCGGACAUGAAAGCUCCUGGCUUAACUGGGAGAGGUGGUUCGAAACUGCGUAGCUUGAGGUUGGGAGAGGGACGUGGAAUUCCCGGUGUAGUGGUGGAAUGCGUAGAUAUCGGGAGGAACACCAGUGGCGCAAGCGGCGUCCUGGCCCACACCUGACGCUGAGGUGCGAAAGCGUGGGUAGCAAAC